AGAGUUUGAUCCUGGCUCAGAUUGAACGCUGGCGGCAUGCUUUACACAUGCAAGUCGAACGGUAACAGGCCGCAAGGUGCUGACGAGUGGCGAACGGGUGAGUAAUGCAUCGGAACGUGCCCAGUCGUGGGGGAUAACGCAGCGAAAGCUGCGCUAAUACCGCAUACGAUCUGUGGAUGAAAGCGGGGGACCGUAAGGCCUCGCGCGAUUGGAGCGGCCGACGUCAGAUUAGGUAGUUGGUGGGGUAAAGGCUCACCAAGCCAACGAUCUGUAGCUGGUCUGAGAGGACGACCAGCCACACUGGGACUGAGACACGGCCCAGACUCCUACGGGAGGCAGCAGUGGGGAAUUUUGGACAAUGGGCGCAAGCCUGAUCCAGCAAUGCCGCGUGCAGGAAGAAGGCCUUCGGGUUGUAAACUGCUUUUGUACGGAACGAAACGGCUCUGGUUAAUACCUGGGGCUAAUGACGGUACCGUAAGAAUAAGCACCGGCUAACUACGUGCCAGCAGCCGCGGUAAUACGUAGGGUGCAAGCGUUAAUCGGAAUUACUGGGCGUAAAGCGUGCGCAGGCGGUUUUGUAAGACAGGCGUGAAAUCCCCGGGCUCAACCUGGGAAUGGCGCUUGUGACUGCAAAGCUGGAGUGCGGCAGAGGGGGAUGGAAUUCCGCGUGUAGCAGUGAAAUGCGUAGAUAUGCGGAGGAACACCGAUGGCGAAGGCAAUCCCCUGGGCCUGCACUGACGCUCAUGCACGAAAGCGUGGGGAGCAA
rnacentral:rRNA from 1 species